GCGGCGCCCCUUCCCAGCGGAGCGGCUUCGGAAGCGCGCCGGCAUCCGAAACUCGGAUCCCGAAGAUGCCCAGGUUCCACCCAAGAGCCCUUAACCAGGCUCCCGGCUCUGAAUCUGACAGCUGGGAAUCCGACAUGGCCCCAGUCCCCAGCCGCGGCCGUCCGCGCACGCGCACACCGUCUUGCCCAUGCGGCCAGGCCUUCAAACUUGGACUGGAACUAUACCACUGGCUCUCCUGGGUCUCCAGCUCACAAACAAAAGAUCACGGGACUUCUCAGCCUCCAUAAUCCUAAUCCUGAGGCCACCACUGUGUCAGGAAGAAGACGGGGAUGCAGGUCAACGUAAGAGAGAGGCUCAGCACCCAGCCAUCCCAGCUGAGCCCAGCAUCCAGUGGAUGCAGUCACCCGAGCGAACCCAGACAAGACGAGUUAGAAGGACUGCCCAGCCAACCCGCAGAACUGUGAAAAAGAAUGAAUUGUCAUUUUAAGCCACUAAGUGUGGAGUGGCUUGUU